rnacentral:lncRNA from 1 species
UGUUCAUGUUCUACAACCCUAUCGGCCCCGGGCAAAGAAUCACACACGUUAUCAUAGGCGAGGACUGGUCGUGGCUAUAUGCAAGUGUGGUCGCCGACACCCAGGCAGGCUCAACGUAUAGCAUGCAUACACGGGCUCUUUUCUGAAUACUAUGCACCUUGAAUUCUGUGAGAUAUACACGUACAUUGCUCCCAAGUCAUAUAGAGGUUAAUGCUCAAUCUUUAUUUUAUUUUUAAGAAACUAAUUGGUGAUGCUUUGUACAUAAUAGUCAGGAUCUGGUUCGCAUGACUAUGUUGCCCUGCAUAAAUGAUCUUCACCACUCUCUCUAUACCCUUUUAUAUAUGGGUUUUUAUCAUUUAUGCCACCGGUUGUGUUUCACUACUCAGUUUUGCCACUAGGAAUUUCAACUGCUCAAAAAUGCCAUCGCUUCGUUAGACACAUACUCAAAAAUGCCACUGGACACCAUUAUUGUGGUCUCAAAUCUCUUUUGCCAUGUUAUAAUGACAUAAAUACCUAUGAACCAACAUGCCAGCUCUCCCUCUAUCUCACUACAAUAAAGUGUGGGGCCCACUUGUUCCCAACAACGUUCUUAUUUUCCUGUAAAAUUAUUCGCUUGGGUACUCCUGACAAGUGGGGCCACACUUAUCAUUGUGAGAUAGAGUGAGCUGACAUGUGGGUCUAGGCUUAUUUUUGUCAUAUAACAUGGUCAACAGGUUUGACGUGAAAAUAACCAUGUCUAAUGGCAUUUUGGAGCAAACAUCUAACGUAAUGAUGGCAUUUUUGAGAUAUCUAAUGGCAUUUUUGAGCAAGCAUCUCACAAAUCGAUGGCAUAUUUGAGUAGCUGUAACUUCUAAUGGCAAAACUGAGUAGUGGGACACAACUAGUGGCAUAAAUGAUAAAAACCCUUUAUAUAUUGUUUGACAUUUGUACUUUUCUAUCUGCAGAUGAGUAAGAGAAGAAAAAUGAAUGUGCUCCUGUUUACAUCAAGAGAAUGUACCCCAUUUAAGGACCUAACAAACACAACUAUGGAUGGUAGUGCUAAUAUCCCACAUAAUCAAACGGACGAUCCUAAAAGGAAAAGUGUUCAAUCAUGGUACGCCAAUGUCGGAUGAGAAGAAAGCAAAAUACAACGCGAAGUGUCAUAUAUCCUGACAACAAACGAGAGUUGCAGCUCUAGACUGUCUAAACCAGGACCAAUUAUCACAAACAUGUGUUUCUCCGUUAGACUGUGCUAUGGUUCAUCUCUACAACAGUUUUCCUAUCUAACAUCAUGUGUAUCUAAGUGCAGCUUCUGGUCAGGCCCCACUUGUUUCUGGCGAUCCCAG